UGUAAAAAAUGAUUCUGGGUUUUAGUCAGGUGGACAAAUAAAAUCAUGUCCUGUCAACUUGCAGUGUCUCACAACACAAUAGGAUGAGUUAUAUCAACCUCAACUUGAAGGGAAAUUGAAAACUUUAAAUAACGUGUUCAUAUAACAACAAAACAUAAGUUCUGUCAAGUUUCUUUCAAAUGCGCAUGUGCCAGAAACUCUACGUCAUGAUGACGUACUAUUUUACCGAAUUUGAGACAGACGCGCCAUCCGCCAUUUUCUGCACGAGAAGCUGCUGCUGAUCACGCAAGAAAAGAUGAAGAAGGAGCCCGCGUUUGAACGACUACAGAUGGGCAGAUGGGGUUUUAUGGACCGCAAAUAAUGAAAUUAGCAUUCAUAUUUUGCGAACUAAGACAAUUUGAUUAAUAAUCAAUAUCCACACGCACUGCCCGGCAAAUUUAUGCUCGCUGGACAUCGAGCUGCUGUCGAGACGUGAGCAGAAAGAGAAGUCGUCUUUAACUAUUGUAAGGAUCCGUACAGUGGAAGCACAACUCCAUAUCAAUGAGGUGGUAUUGCAAGAUUUGUAGACACCAAAAACCUUCUUGCUUUACUAAGUUGGCGAGAAACCAAAAAGCUGUUUCGUGUGAUCAUCUCCCCACAGAACAUUAAAAAAGUUCGACUUGAUCCUGUUCCAGAUUCUGUUGACGGCCUCAAGCUUGAACCUAAAAGCAGGCUCCAGCUGAAAGACACUUUUGACCUUCAAUAAGAAGAUGAAGACUUCCAUGAUUUCUGUAACCUUACAUGUGUAGCUGAUCUGUCCAAAGACAAGAUCAGCAAAGAAUUCACCAGGCGUGUUGCAAGUCCUUUUUUUGAAGGCCUAUAUGGUCAUCUCUCGAAGCUGAUGCAGUUAUUCAGGUCAAAGCAUCCCAGAAAUGACUUCAAUACUGGAGAGCCUUAAUAAGGAUACAACAAACUAAAGGAUGAGGACAGCAGCAUUGCUGGGCCUACCGUGGUACAUGCAAGAGACUCCUUCAAAAUUCAUGAAGAUAUGCAAGCCCAGUGAGCGUGAAGAGGAUGUGAUCAAGGGUGUGGUGAUUGGAAUCCUAAUGGUUGUGGGAAAUGUGAUGGAACCUCUCCCAGCGAUCUACAAUGACGUUGCCCUGGUGAUUGAGGAAGAAGUGGUAAUGCAUCACCUUAGUGAUAUACCUAAUGCUUUUCUGAACCUGAUGGGCCUGGACUAUCCAAAUGUUGACUACCCAAAAGAAUUAAAAUUCACGUUUGAAGUGAUACAGCACCCGUUUAUAGGAGUGGGAUCAGAAUUUUGCACUGCAAGAGUUCACUCUCUGAAGAGGAGGUUGCUACGAUAAGACAGAAAAGAACAAUCUUUUUUCCUUCUUGCUACUGUUUAAAGGGAUAGUUCACCCAAAAAUGAAAAUUUGAUAUUUAUCUGCUUACCCCCAGGGCAUCCAAGAUGUAGGUGACUU